GAUCAAACUCGUGUCCCCUGGAUUGGCUGCCAGACUCUCAACCACUGUAUCACCAGAUGGAGAAGAGGAGAAGCCAGGCUAACUCCAGGGACUAGAUACAAGACAGCUCCUCCUUCUGCUUUUUGACUUAACUCUGGCUUCUUCAGAGGAAAGGCCUUUUUCGCUGCUUACAUCGUCAACAAUUCUAGCCAAGAGAAGAUCUUUCAUUCAUAUCGGAUCUGUGAUAAUGCAGAACGGAGGAGCUCCCUCAUUGUAGUAAAAUCUGUGAUGCCAGAGAGGGGAGGAAGCUGAUCUCUUUGGAGAUAUUGAGUGCCCUCCUAUGAAAUGUUUCUUCCGCCAUUGUGACUGAACUGACAAAGGACAGUGCCAGGACGUGCAUAAGAAAACUCAGUAAUUAAUCUUUGGAGACACCUAUGCAAUGGAUCCAAUUCAAGAUAAGCACUGAACCUGAGCUAAAAGGUGACUGAACAUGGAAGUUAUGGACAUUCCCAAUGGUGGAUUCUUUACUGCUGAGCCACCGGGGAAGACCCCAGACAGAGAUGCAGCCUUUAUCCUCAGUCCUGCUGCAGCCCAGAGCGAAAAAAAGGCAACAGAUUCUGAGGGCUCAUCCUUCAAAUACAUGGAAAAAAGUCAAGCUUGUCCUUUCUUCUACCACUGGCUCCGCUUUCAUCGCUGCUGUUUGUUUUCUUACUCGGGUGUGCAGUGGGAGGAUGAGUCCCAGAGCAAGGACAGGCCUAGAGAAGAUGCGCUGUUCAGGCUUCCAGCCACCUGAGGGCCACAUCAUGUUUGAAGUGUGUCUGGGUUUCUCUUCUCCACAAAUGCCUGGCCUUCGUUGACUUUCAAGUCGAAUGACUGCUGCUGAAUAAUAACAAGGGGCAAAGUUGCAUAUAUCAUAAAGGGCAAGGGUGGGCUUGGAGGAAAGGGCUAGAACUUAGAGCCUGUUUUCUCUCUUUCACCUUAUCUCCUCUGAUGACAAUAAAGACAUACUUUAUCCUAA